rnacentral:rRNA from 1 species
AGAAUCAACGCUGGCGGCGUGCCUAACACAUGCAAGUCGAACGCGAAAGGGGCUUCGGCCCUGAGUAGAGUGGCGAACGGGUGAGUAACGCGUGGGUGAUCUACCUUCGAGUGGGGGAUAACGUCUCGAAAGGGACGCUAAUACCGCAUGACAUCCUGCCUUUGGACAGGUGGUGAUCAAAGCCGGGGAUCCGCAAGGACCUGGUGCUUGAAGAGGAGCCCGCGUCCGAUUAGCUAGUUGGUGAGGUAAUGGCUCACCAAGGCGACGAUCGGUA